rnacentral:rRNA from 1 species
GAUGAACGCUGGCGGCGUGCCUAAUACAUGCAAGUCGAGCGAACAGACCAGUAGCUUGCUCCUCUGACGUUAGCGGCGGACGGGUAAGUAGCACGUGGCUAACCUACCUAUAUGACUGGGCUAACUUCGGCAGACCGGAGCUAAUAACGGGUAAUACAUUUAACCGCAUGGUUUAGUAGUGAAAGACGGUUUUGCUGUCGAUUCUCGGUGGAUCCGCGCCUCAUUAGCGAAUUGGUAGGGUAACGGCUUGCCAAGGCAACGAUGCGUAGCCGACCUGAGCGGGGGAAGCGCCACACUGGAACUGAGCCGCGGUCCAGACUCUGAGGGGAGGCAGCAGUAGGGAAGCGUGCGCGAUGGGGGAAAGCCUGAAGGAGGAACGCCGGGUUGGUGAUGAAGGUCUGCGUGUCGUAAAACUCUGUUAGUGGUGAAGAACAAAUGUGUAAGUAACGAUGCUCGUCGUGACGGUACCUGGUCAGAAAGCCACGGCUAACUACGUG